ensembl:lncRNA
AGACAAAAUAGGGCUUUAUAAUGGCUGUGGGCUCAAGCUAGAGGGUGCAAAUCCAACCGUGUUUUUGAAGCUUUGCAGCUCACGGGCCGUUAGAUAAGUGGUCCAGCCGACUGCUGAAAAAUACCAGUGUAAUACUGAGGUGCAGGUAAGGAAAAAAGAAACUUGAGGAGGAGGGGAAGAGAACAUCAGGCUUUGAAAUCUUCAGGGGAAACAGAAAUGGCCACUGACUUGAGCCCAACACAGGGCAUCAAGGAGCAACAAAUCGACCAGGGAAGUGUAAGCACAAAGGAGAAGCCUCGACAUGAUAGAUGACCCAAAGCCCUCUGGAAAACUUGACCCCCCUACCAGGAGGCAGUCGGAAGAAGGGCAUGACAUGACGAAGUAGACCGUUGCUGCUAUCCUGCAAGAAUGCAAAGAAAAUUUCUUUUCCCCUGUUGUCCUCGAAGCCAACACAAGAAGAAAAAGGCAGCAACUUGGCGGCUUUAAAAAACAAGGAAAUCUUAGCGAAAUUUUCAAGCUCCAUCUUGCAUAGCGGAGACUACUGAUGCUUAUUAGAAGACCAUGUGGGAAAGUGAUUUUGUUUGGAAGAUGCAAAUAGAAAAGAAUAAUUAAAAGACUUAAACCAUAUUUAGGAAGGAAAGCCCCACCUGGCCCUCUACAGAGAGCUGCUGUGGAUUCCUAAGUCCUCCUGAUUCCAUCUACAGCCAGGCAGGACAGGGUGACUCGCUCCUGGGAUGCUGAGAAGUUUGAAAUACACUUUUCUGACACUAUUUCCUGGAACACUGUAUCAUUAUGUCCUCACAGCCCCACAUUUCAUGGCUUAUGGGAAAGACUCAUGGGGAAGCUUAGAGAUGAAAGAAUUUAAGAGGCUUCUGGCCCCAAAUGAAGGCCAGUGACAUCUCCCAUUAAACCUACUCUGGCAAUACAUAUUAUUGCUCAUAAAUCCGUGGCAUUGCAGCAGUGGUUUCUGCUCCUGCAAGAUCCUCUGUCAAACACUCUGGAAAUCUGCUGGAUGGGAGAUUCCACAGCAGUGCACUCUGCAGAUUUUCAUCCUGUCAUUCAUCCGUGCUCUUCUUGAGGAAUCUUCAGGAUGAAACACUGGACAUUUUUGUUUGAUAUAGCAUGUGUUUUCCACAUCCCAUUUUCCCGUUUCAUUAUGCUUUACUUUGUUGUGCAUUUUUCCUUGCAGUGGCUUCUUAUUUUUCAUUUUAUAAGAUUCAUCUGCCAUGGAGAUUAAGAAAUUGCAUUUGUGAUAUGUAUUUGUCAUGCCAUCUGAAUGUAGAUAGGCUCACCUUAACAGAAUGAAUAAAACAAAUCUCUUCAAAUACAAUAAUAAUCCUCACAAAGAUACUGCAAAAUUAUGUCAAAGCAACUCUGUAACCUAGAUCCGACUGAAGGAAUAAAAAGAAUGAUACUGUUGGC